ACUGCGAAUGGCUCAUUAAAUCAGUUAUCGUUUAUUUGAUAGUACCUUACUACAUGGAUACCUGUGGUAAUUCUAGAGCUAAUACAUGCUAAAAACCUCGACUUCGGAAGGGGUGUAUUUAUUAGAUAAAAAACCAAUGCCCUUCGGGGCUCCUUGGUGAAUCAUAAUAACUUAACGAAUCGCAUGGCCUUGCGCCGGCGAUGGUUCAUUCAAAUUUCUGCCCUAUCAACUUUCGAUGGUAGGAUAGUGGCCUACCAUGGUGGCAACGGGUAACGGGGAAUUAGGGUUCGAUUCCGGAGAGGGAGCCUGAGAAACGGCUACCACAUCCAAGGAAGGCAGCAGGCGCGCAAAUUACCCAAUCCCGAUACGGGGAGGUAGUGACAAUAAAUACUGAUACGGGGCUCUUUUGGGUCUCGUAAUUGGAAUGAGUACAAUUUAAAUACCUUAACGAGGAACAAUUGGAGGGCAAGUCUGGUGCCAGCAGCCGCGGUAAUUCCAGCUCCAAUAGCGUAUAUUAAAGUUGUUGCAGUUAAAAAGCUCGUAGUUGAACCUUGGGUCUGGCUGGCCGGUCCGCCUCACCGCGAGUACUGGUCCGGCUGGACCUUUCCCUUCUGGGGAACCUCAUGGCCUUCACUGGCUGUGGGGGGAACCAGGACUUUUACUGUGAAAAAAUUAGAGUGUUCAAAGCAGGCCUUUGCUCGAAUACAUUAGCAUGGAAUAAUAGAAUAGGACGUGCGGUUCUAUUUUGUUGGUUUCUAGGACCGCCGUAAUGAUUAAUAGGGAUAGUCGGGGGCGUCAGUAUUCAGCUGUCAGAGGUGAAAUUCUUGGAUUUGCUGAAGACUAACUACUGCGAAAGCAUUCGCCAAGGAUGUUUUCAUUAAUCAGGGAACGAAAGUUAGGGGAUCGAAGACGAUCAGAUACCGUCGUAGUCUUAACCAUAAACUAUGCCGACUAGGGAUCGGGCGGUGUUUCUAUGAUGACCCGCUCGGCACCUUACGAGAAAUCAAAGUUUUUGGGUUCUGGGGGGAGUAUGGUCGCAAGGCUGAAACUUAAAGAAAUUGACGGAAGGGCACCACAAGGCGUGGAGCCUGCGGCUUAAUUUGACUCAACACGGGGAAACUCACCAGGUCCAGACAAAAUAAGGAUUGACAGAUUGAGAGCUCUUUCUUGAUCUUUUGGAUGGUGGUGCAUGGCCGUUCUUAGUUGGUGGAGUGAUUUGUCUGCUUAAUUGCGAUAACGAACGAGACCUCGGCCCUUAAAUAGCCCGACCCGCAUUUGCGGGCCGC
rnacentral:rRNA from 2 species